AGGAGCAGCGGGCCGCAACAACACAGUGUCAGGGUAUCAACUCCACAUCUGAGGCCUGCACUUCAGUCUAGGAAAAAGGCAGAUAAAGAAACCCAACAAGGAGAUUGAGACUACCAUAUCAGGUCGGGCUGUCCGAGGAUCGGCCUGUGGGAUGGAGCUAGCAUGACCCCAGCAACAAAGGCUGUGAUCACAUCAGACCCUAUUGCACCCUCUGCUGGACCUUCAUGAGAAUGACCUUGUUAUCACUACAAAGAUACUCAUGUCUCAGGCUGCACAGGCCAAUCACAGAGUGGUGCAAUAACAAGUAGGUAGAUUGUGAUAAUAUUAAUUACUGUUCAUUAGACGCAGUUUUGCCAAAUUAUACAUUUUUUUCUGCUGUAAUGAUACCAAAGUUCGGUUGUAGUUUGUUCUUUUUUUUUUUUUUUUUAACACAUUAUGAUAGAUGUAGUAAAUUGAAAAAGACAAUUUUUGCAAUCCUGUGAUGCGAACAUGCUCAAAAUAAGCAUGUGGAACAGAUUCUGGUAGAGCAGAAAGGAAUAACACAGAAUCAAAUGGAACACUAGGGAAAACAAUAGCAUAGAACAAAACAGAAUACAGU